rnacentral:rRNA from 1 species
UACAGAGGAGCCAAGCGUUGUCCGGAUUGACUGGGCGUAAAGCGCACGCAGGCGGACGCGCGCGUGGGGUGUGAAAUCUGGCCGCUUAACGGCCAGGCGCCAUCCCAUACGGCGCGUCUGGAGCAAUGCAGAGGUCGGUGGAAUUGCCGGUGUAGUGGUGAAAUGCGUAGAGAUCGGCAGGAACACCCAGGGGGAAACCAGCCGACUGGGCAUUUGCCUGGACGCUGAGGUGCGAGAGCGUGGGGAGCGAACCGGAUUAGAGU